GAGGGUAAAGCUCAGUGGUUAGUGUACAUGCUUAGCAAGCACUAGGUCCUGGGUUCAAUCCCCAGUACCUCCA
rfam:Camelus ferus unplaced genomic scaffold scaffold804, whole genome shotgun sequence.